UGUAAAGAAUUGCAUGGUCUUUGAAUGGAAAUGAAAGUCAGGAAAAAAAGAGGCAUGGCAGUACAUUGCAAAGAAACAAAUGGCACUCCGGGUAAAACACAGUUCUGGGAGCUUCUUAGCUUCUCCUCAGAAACACCCUAUGAGUGUUUCAUCGGUCUAACAGGCUGCAGAAGUCCCUGUG